rnacentral:rRNA from 1 species
UACGGAGGGUGCGAGCGUUGUCCGGAAUCAUUGGGCGUAAAGGGCGCGUAGGUGGCGGGACAAGCGUGCGGUGAAAGCUUGGGGCUCAACCCCGAGUCGGCCGUGCGAACUGUCUUGCUUGAGCACUGUAGAGGCAGGCGGAAUUCCGGGUGUAGCGGUGGAAUGCGUAGAGAUCCGGAAGAACACCGGUGGCGAAGGCGGCCUGCUGGGCAGUAGCUGACACUGAGGCGCGACAGCGUGGGGAGCAAACAGG